AUUGAACGCUGGCGGCAUGCCUUACACAUGCAAGUCGAACGGUAACAGGUCUUCGGAUGCUGACGAGUGGCGAACGGGUGAGUAAUACAUCGGAACGUGCCUAGUCGUGGGGGAUAACUACUCGAAAGAGUGGCUAAUACCGCAUGAGAUCUACGGAUGAAAGCAGGGGAUCGCAAGACCUUGUGCUACUAGAGCGGCCGAUGGCAGAUUAGGUAGUUGGUGGGAUAAAAGCUUACCAAGCCGACGAACUGUAGCUGGUCGGAGAGGACGACCAGCCACACUGGGACUGGGACACGGCCCAGACUACUGCGGGAGGAAGCAGUGGGGAAUGUUGGACAAUGGGCGAAAGCCUGAUCCAGCAAUGCCGCGUGCAGGAUGAAGGCCUUCGGGUUGUAAACUGCUUUUGUACGGAACGAAAAGCCCCGGGUUAAUACCCUGGGGUCAUGACGGUACCGUAAGAAUAAGCACCGGCUAACUACGUGCCAGCCGCCGCCGUAA
rnacentral:rRNA from 1 species